CCCUCAUUAAAUUUUGUCUUCCUCGAUUUGGUUUCUUCUGGUCCCUUCCUAUCUUCCCAUCUCUUCUGUCGCUAGCGGUCGGCGAGGUCGACCUCCAUCUCGGCGCAUGUCCCCGGCAAGAAGAAGAUGGUGAGCCGCCGCCGAGCGGGGCCGAGCUGAUGUAGCUGGUAGGCCACUCCAGCGCCCCCUCCGCCCUAGGAUUCUCUCCCCCCCUGGCAGUCCUGCUGCUUCCCGAGGCGGCCAUCGCGGCUGGCGACGGGGAGGAGAAUCUGGGCGUAGUCUCCCCUAUACAGGCUUAAUUCAUGCCUCGAUGCACGUUUCCACCGGCCUCCCCCAUCCCCGGAGCCGCCGCCUACCGCGCCCAAGCUCCCCCUGGUCGACCUUCUUCGUGGUCGGCGGCAGCACGGGUCAGGUUCUCAUCUGCCAUCGCGGCCACUCUUCGCUGGCUGCUUUUCGGUUUGCGUGUUCGGAGGCCACCAGUGCGGCCGCUGCAACCGCUCCAACCAGGCACCACGUACUGCUACUCGACUACCUCUCCUCCUUUCCUCCGCUCGCGAAUCCGGUCAUCAUUGCCACGGUUUCGUCCAAGAGGACGCAGAGGAUAAGCAGGGGUGCUGCGGGUGGAAGCAAGACGUCAACAGCGGGAGCCUGGGAGGAAGACGGUGCUAAUACAAGAGCAGAGGCAUCAAUCCCAUGGUCGCUCAGCUCAAGGCGCCUGCUGUUGUAUUUUUCACAAUGGAGGCGCUGGUGGCCAUUAGGAUGGAGAUGCAGACUAACUACAGGGCGCUGGACAACUGGGACAUCAGCUCUGGCGACUCCUCCACAGCUGGGAAUCUCUUCAUACUUAUCAAUAUGUGGAUUGUGGUGUCUACACACCAUAUUUGUUUUUCAUAUUCAUGCACAAUGCAUCAGAAUAGAUAUCUGAUCAUUCAAUUAUAAUACUGACUGAAUGUUCUAUUGUCCUUUUUAAACAAACAAAUAUUAUACUGCCAGCUUUGAUCCAUUUCCAACAAUUUAACCUUUAUAGAUCUUAAUUCCUUUUGGUCAAAACAUGUUGUAUAGUUGCUUGGUUCAGUUAGCCAGAUAAGGACAUCCAAAACCUGAACUCAUUUGUAUUCGCUUGGGAACAUAAACUAUUUAUUUGCAGGAGUAUGUUUAAUGUUUGACAAGAUUGUUGUUAAUAUUACAGUCCUACUAUCCUAGCAUAUUGAAAAAUAUUCAUAUUAUUGGGCAGGUAGUAGCAAGUUCUGUUUCUUCUUCUUUCAAUGCAGCCUUUUUCAGAUGCUUUCCCUAAGGUGGAAAAAAAAUAAUGCUGAAAGAGAUUCCGGCUAUUGGGCAAGUAGCAGCAAGUUGAGAAGAUAAAGGGAUGGAUGACGUGGAUUCUUGGCUGGAUGAGAUGAUUCAAGCGCCUCCAUGUAAUGGAGCGGAAUAUGUGAUUAAUAACUUAUGGGAAGGACUGCCUAUAGCUUUGAGAGUGAAAAUUUAGGUUUGUCAUGACUCACAAGCUAGAAAAAUUAAAAAGUAGGAACUUCUAGCCCAUGAGUCAAGUCAAUUGAAAUUUUGAUUUUAUGUUUGCAUUGUUUCUUUGUUAGGUAUUUUUUGAAAAGAACAUUUACAUUAUUUAUUCUACAUCGCUUACUCAGAUGAAAUGUUUCCAUGGGAUUUUGAUCGUUAGCUAGCUGAGCCAAAACGAGCUUUGAUGAACUCCAGGGAUGGAAAGUCAUGAAGCGGUGGACUGGAGCCACGAGGUCAUUCAACAGACUUCUGACAAGGGCGAAUGUCCAGUUCUCUAUGGUGCAAGGCCACAUGUGUCACUGUGGACAUCCCCUGUCAGAUAGAAAGCAAAAAAAUGUCAAAAUAUGGGAACCUUUUAGCAUACAAUUCAGUUUAUAGUGUUUCGCUUAACCUUUGGUAUGCAGUUUAAGCUGCUCGAUCACUUCUCUACAGACAUCGCGGAAAAUAUCUUUGAUAUUUGGAUGAUAUAGGAGUGACCAUGCUAUGCAUGUUUGGUUUCAAGACAUUGCAGUCCAAAUAGAUCUUUAUUUUACUGACAGAGAAUGCAUCACCAUGGUAAAAAUAAUUGAGAAUCUUUAUGGGGUUUAUGCAUUCAUAGAAUGAUCUCUUCCAUAUAGCAAUACCUUAUCAGGUGAACAUAUACAGGGAAUUAACAUUACAUUGCUGCUUGGGUUCAGAUUGAAGAAGCCACGCAUGAUAUUGUUUUGUAAUGAGGAGAUAGUUUCCAUGCUGCCAAAAAAGCUAUACUGGCACAGAUGUUAUACCAGUUGUGCUUCAGAUCCAGAUGCUGCCAUUGUGACUGAUGGAUUUGACCAAGGUUUCUACGGACGGCUGCCGCAAAUACCCAACCCUGGAUUUAUCUAUACAAACUGAUAGAGCUCCAAGUGGUGAACAUUUCGUUUAAAUGACGCGCUUAGUUCCUAUCUAUCAUGUAAUAUUUGUAGACUUAUGUUGUAUGGUAGUGUAGUCUUCUCUUUUUGUUGGAGUCAUAUUCCCUUUCUAUGGACUGUAUUGUAAGUUGCUACAUGUAUGUUCAUUCGUAGUGUACCACUUUUUACUUCCUCCAAACUUCGCUGUUUAUACUUUUGGGCCAAUCCAGGAGAAGCAAUUUUCUC